rnacentral:rRNA from 1 species
CAACGAGCGCAACCUCGUGUUUAGUUGCUAACAGUUCGGCUGAGAACGUCUAAACAGACUGCCUACGCAAGUAGGAGGAAGGUGAGGACGACGUCAAGUCAUCAUGGCCCUUACGGCCAGGGCUACACACGUGCUACAAUGGGGUAUACAAAGAGCAGCGAUACGGUGACGUGGAGCAAAUCUAGAAAAUAGCCUCUCAGUUCGGAUUGUAGUCUGCAACUCGACUACAUGAAGUUGGAAUCGCUAGUAAUCGUAGAUCAGCAAUGCUACGGUGAAUACGUUCCCGGGUCUU